GUGUAUGAUGUCCUUGGAGUGC
rnacentral:siRNA from 1 species